ACUCUUCCUCUCUGUGAGUGACAGGAAGUCCUACAUUUCAGUCUGAGUUGUCAGCAGCUUAAGGAACUGAGGUGUAUGCAUAAUGCCAAAUGCUAAAAGAAAUGCAAAAGGAAUGCCUACAGAAAAGCUGCAAAAUGGCUUAAAUUGACAAGGAUUUUUGUUUGUUUGGCCAAGCACUUUUCAACUGCUGCUGUUGUUACCACCAUUCUGUCCAAGAAAGCUGUUUUGGAAUUAAAGGAGAUGGGUAAUACUCCCCAAACAAAACAGAGAAUACCUGAUUUUUUAAAAAAGGAAGGCAAAUCACUCCUUACAAUUAGAAUUACAGAAGAUAUACCAAAAACUGCCCAGCGGUGCUGUACAAAAGAGGCAACCAAUAAAAAGGGAACUAAAGGUGUAAGGCUUAAUGUGAGGUUUAUCUUAAGAAUGGGGGAAAACAUGUUGCUCAUAAACUGGUGAGAAACACAAAAGUACACAAAGAAUGGAACUGUUCCAAUUACUAGCAGUGUAACUGCUGAUGGAGAAGAUCAUUGUUAAAUCUACACUGGAAGCUGAUCCAGGCAGAGCUUGCUUUGGGCACUGAGGGAAUUCACCAAGAAGUGAUAUCCAAACUGCCUGGAAAUUUCACAUUGGAAGAAGCAAGCAAUAACAAGUGGAGCCUUCUUUUCCACUCUCUGGUUUGCAUAAAAGGAAAGCAACAGGGUGUGGGAAUCUGUCGACAUUAUGAACUUGCAGCUGGAGUCCAUUAUACGCUGCCAAUGUUGCCGUCCCAUAGAGCUGAUGACAAAUGGAAUUUUUGCUGCAGGGGAAAUCUUGACAUUUUGAACAGCAUUUCUGUUGUGAAAGUGGAAAGUGUGCGCGUGUGUGUACACGCACAGACAGAUGUUAAUUUUCAGGCAAAAACAAUGAAAGUCGAAUUAUUGAUGCUAAGAAGAAAACAUUGACGAUUUUCAGUCAAAGAAAAAAAGGGGGGCUUUUUCUUCUUUUUUGCUGUGAUUCAAAAUGUUUGCUUCUUGGCAUUAAAAACGUCAACCAGCCGUUUGAAAUGGAAUUGAGCUUUGGUGCAUCCAGGUAUAGAAUGUGCUUUUGCUGUAUGUACUUGUGGCAAUAUGAACACUUUCCUAAUAUUUAUAAACAAGCAUGUAAAUAAUUAAACACGGGGGAAAGAUCCCUGCCCUUCAUUCCAAGAAAGAGGUUCUGGGCUCAAGUCUUUCUGGAGACAUGCCCAUCUAUUUCAAAGCCAUUUCACUAAACUCACAAAAUGCAAUCCAGGACCUUAAUUUUAACAUGUAGCCCCAUUUUAUCUUAUGACAGCAUCCAUUAGAGACUAUGUUACCCUUUCUGCAAAGAAGGUAUGUAAAACAGGAUGUUGCUCUUCUGAACUAUCUCCUUACCCUUUUAUUUCCAGUCCUGAAGUUUAUUUAAAUAAUCCACAUGGCAGGCAGAUUCCCUCCCUUAGAUGUUUCUGUGAUGAGGUGACCUAUCUAUGAUUUCAGCUUCUUGCGACAGAAAGAAUUGAGGGACAAAUACUUUGCAUCCCUGGGAAAAGGGAGGAGGAAACCAUCUGAAUACAUUUGAGCUGUGACUCUCCAUCCCCAGAUGAUUUACACAUAAAUCUCUGGUUACCCCUUCAGAACACCUGCCUUAAGGUGGGAGAACAAAAGAGGGAAGGAAUAUUCUGCAAUGUGUGUAUGAGGGCCUCGUACCAUCAACAUUCAAAUUGCCAUGCAUCUCACAACUAGCAUUUCAAAGGUUCCCAAGCUCUGAUGCCUCCCUUUCAGAAAGACGGGGAGGAGAGAAGUUGGCUACAUUUCAAUGACCUGAUGAGAAAAUGUAUGUCGUUCCCUCUCUGUCACCCCCCCCCCCAUUUCUACAUUCUUACUCAUUUUUGAAGGCACCUUCAACUUUGCUCUGUUGAUGUAAAAGUUCAGAGAACCUAUUUAACAUGCUGAAUUACCCAUGUUUGAACUCUGAUAAUAGAAUUUCUCUUUCUCAUAAAAGUCUCAGCGGUUUAAUUUUUGAAUUUGUAACCUGUUAGUCCAAGCUUCAUUGAGCAGAAAUGUAGUUCCGAUUUCAGCCAUCACUGUUUCUGGCAUUCUUGGGAUAACUGUAAAUAAUUUAUUGCAAUCCUGCUAUCUGUUUACAUGUUUCUAAGGCAGGGCUGGAGAACUUGUGUCCCUCCAGAUGUUGUUGGACUCCAACUCCCAUCAGCUUCAGCUAGUAGGACCAAUGCUCAGGGACAAGGGGAGGGGAGGGCAGUAGCUGCACAGGUUUCUCAUCAC